CACCCAAUGGCACAUGGUGUGCACCUGCCUUCCCUGAGUGCUAGGAAAGUCUUCUGCAGGCAGGAGGUCCCCGUUCGAUUCGGGGUUGGGUGA